GCCAGUUUGAGCAGCUCGUGAAAAUGUACGUUUAUAUAGUUACGGAAAGUGUAUGUGACUAGUUAGGGGUAGCUGUGAAUGUUACGAUAUAUAUCACACUUAAAAAAACUAAAUAUCUAUAAAUUGGCCUCUAAAGUAUUAAUCAAAAAUAACUUGAAAUAACCGGAUUUUUGACAAAAAAUUUAUUCAUAUUGAUAAAUCGGGCGUUCUUGCAUGUUAUCUCUUCAUCAUAAUUCUAACCUAAAUAGUCGAUUCUAACGAUUAAUAUCAGUUUUGCGAUUUGCGGGACAGAGUGAACAUUUUUUCUAAUCUUUUUCUCUUAUGCAUUUUUGUUUGGAGCAAAACGUGUUGAAUAAGGAUAAUUUUAUUAAUGCUGGUCAUCAAGAAGUUGAAUAAUUAUAUUUCAGUCACUGAAUAAUUAUAUCGAGGGGGGGGGGGGCUACGAAAAUAGCCGAAUUCACCUGUAAUUUCAAAAUAUCGCAAAAUAAUUCAUGGAAUUUGUAUUUUUAUUAAAAUUCAAUUGUCAAAAGUGUUAAAACGCUUAUUGUUUCUUAUGACAUAACUUAAUUAAGAACAAUAUGGAGGAAAAAACAAGCCCUUUCAAAGAAAUUGGCUCCAAUGAUGUUGACACAGAGUCAAAAGCAAUAUUAAAGAGAAAAUUACAAAUGAAAUCAGAAGCGCUCAUGUUGUUAAGCAAGGAAAUGGAUCAGAGUAGGAUAGAACGAGAUCAAUUCAAACUGAUGGCUGAACAAAUUCAGGAACGGUUUCUACAUUUGAAGAAACAGAUGUGUGAUAUGAAAGAGUUGAACAGUUUCAACGAUGAUUUUAGAACCUUGGAUUUAUUAACAGAAGCGCGUGAACAAAAUAAGUGCCUUAAGCUACAAGUUGAAACAUUAAGGCAGAAGCUAACAGAUGCUGAAGGUGAUAUUAAGGUGUUACGUUCAAAUAAUAAUCGUAUACCAAUUGAACAGCAGGAAACUCAAUUAGCACCAGCUAUGCAUCAAAGAGAAGAGAUGAUAGAGCAAUUGGAGAAAUUAAAUUUAAAAUGUUCACAGUUGCAAACAGAUCUACAAACAGUAUUGGAUGAGAAACAUGAGCUAAAGAUGGAAAGGGAUGCCUUCAAAUGUAAGGCACAUCGUUUGAAUCAUGAACUGUCUAAAGCUUUGAACGCUACCAAACCAGUUGAUUUGGAUGCUCUUAUCAAUGAAAAUAGAUAUCUGCAAGAAAGACUGCAGCAAUUGCUUGAAGAGAAGGAGCUUACACGUCAAUCUCUGUCAAAGUAUAAGAGUAUGCUAGAUAGUAAAAGAGCUAAAGGAACUAUCAAGUUGGGAGCAAAUUCUGCAGUUGGAACAGUGAUGACUCACAAGCAAGUUGAACAGCUUCUUCAAGAAAGUUCUUAUAUACCACCUCAGAAAUCUGCUGCUGCCGUUACUGAUCUACGGUGCCUUUGCACUGCCUUAUUAGAGGCUUUAAAUGACAAAACUUUAGCUCUGGCUCAUCAGAAGAAAGCGAAUAAAAUAUUGGCAUUGAGAAUUUGUGAAUUGGAUAGUGCUGUACAGUCACCAACCACGAAGCUUUUGGAGGGAUACACAAGCAACAAUGUUGAUUUGAGGUGUGAUAGCGACUUCAAUAAUUUGGAUCAUACUAACAGCUGUAUACAUAACAUCGAGGAGAACAAUGUUGUAACAAAUGAAGAUAAUAUACAAUGUAGUUCAUCACCUGAAAGUCAAAUUAUGCAACAAUUGCAGUCGAUACAAAUGAGUCUUCCAAGAAACUUAGGAGUAUUGGUUCAAAAGGCAUUAAAUAAUUUAAAUGAUAAACAGAAGUCUGAGCAACGCAUGGCGCUUCAGGAUAAUCAACCUACGUACUGCCGACACCCUCCACGAAACAGGCGAUCUAGAGCAACGUUUAAGGAUUAAAUAUGGAUGUUAAAGACGAAACAAAAUAAUCAAUUGAUAUCGGUACUCGACCCCCGGUAAAAUUGAGACCAGUCGAUCGCUGAGAGCGCCGCAGACUCUAUCGCACGUAUGUGGUGAACAUUCAGAUGGAGUUGUCGCGUGGAUCUUGCAUGUACAGCACGUUGACGCGUUUCUUCUUCUUGUCACUGCUGAGUACAGAGCGAUGACCACCAACCACGCGAAGCACGCAUUGUCUGUCGUACGAACAUUGAUCACCGCUCGUUUCGUC